rnacentral:rRNA from 1 species
CAGACGAGGAGCUUGCUCCUCUGACGUUAGCGGCGGACGGGUGAGUAACACGUGGAUAACCUACCUAUAAGACUGGGAUAACUUCGGGAAACCGGAGCUAAUGCCGGAUAAUAUAUUGAACCGCAUGGUUCAAUAGUGAAAGACGGUUUUGCUGUCACUUAUAGAUGGAUCCGCGCCGCAUUAGCUAGUUGGUAAGGUAACGGCUUACCAAGGCAACGAUGCGUAGCCGACCUGAGAGGGUGAUCGGCCACACUGGAACUGAGACACGGUCCAGACUCCUACGGGAGGCAGCAGUAGGGAAUCUUCCGCAAUGGGCGAAAGCCUGACGGAGCAACGCCGCGUGAGUGAUGAAGGUCUUCGGAUCGUAAAACUCUGUUAUUAGGGAAGAACAAAUGUGUAAGUAACUAUGCACGUCUUGACGGUACCUAAUCAGAAAGCCACGGCUAACUACGUGCCAGCAACCGCGAUAAUACGUAGGUGGCAAGCGUUAUCCGGAAUUAUUGGGCGUAAAGCGCGCGUAGGCGGUUUUUUAAGUCUGAUGUGAAAGCCCACGGCUCAACCGUGGAGGGUCAUUGGAAACUGGAAAACUUGAGUGCAGAAGAGGAAAGUGGAAUUCCAUGUGUAGCGGUGAAAUGCGCAGAGAUAUGGAGGAACACCAGUGGCGAAGGCGACUUUCUGGUCUGUAACUGACGCUGAUGUGCGAAAGCGUGGGGAUCAAACAGGAUU